rnacentral:tRNA from 1 species
GUGGUGAGCUUAGCAGUAAAGCACAGGAUUUAUAUGCCUGAUAUCCUAGAUUUGAUCCCUAGCACUACC